ACUUAUUGGACCCGGGGGCGGUACCCGGCGCCUCCACCAAAAUAUAAUAACAAAAUUAUACUUUGGUGGGGGCGAAAUAGGAUCGACAAGAGUGUAAAGAUUGCUCUUUUACUCGGCAUAGUACCACCGUUAUCGGACUAAAUGAGUAGUUGCAAAUGACAACUAUGCGGAAGCACGUCUCGCCGCUUAAGGUGGUGUGAAUGUUUCAAAUUAAGCCUUAAACCGUCGCAGGUUUAAGCGGGGUUCGGAGG
rnacentral:tmRNA from 1 species